rnacentral:rRNA from 1 species
GCUGGCGGCGUGCUUAACACAUGCAAGUCGAACGAUGAAGCUGGAGCUUGCUCCGGUGGAUUAGUGGCGAACGGGUGAGUAACACGUGAGAAAUCUGCCCCUGACUCUGGGAUAACUGCGGGAAACUGUAGCUAAUACCGGAUACUUUCCCUGGUGGGCAUCCACUGGGGAAGAAAGAAUUUCGGUCAGGGAGGAUCUCGCGGCCUAUCAGCUAGUUGGUGAGGUAACGGCUCACCAAGGCGACGACGGGUAACCGGCCUGAGAGGGUGACCGGUCACACUGGGACUGAGACACGGCCCAGACUCCUACGGGAGGCAGCAGUGGGGAAUAUUGCACAAUGGGCGCAAGCCUGAUGCAGCAACGCCGCGUGAGGGAUGAAGGCCUUCGGGUUGUAAACCUCUUUUAGCAGGGAAGAAGCGAAAGUGACGGUACCUGUAGAAAAAGCACCGGCUAACUACGUGCCAGCAGCCGCGGUAAUACGUAGGGUGCAAGCGUUGUCCGGAAUUAUUGGGCGUAAAGAGCUCGUAGGCGGUUUGUCACGUCUGCUGUGAAAAUCCAAGGCUCAACCUUGGACUUGCAGUGGGUACGGGCAGGCUAGAGUGCGGUAGGGGAGAUGGGAAUUCCUG